rnacentral:rRNA from 1 species
UACGGAGGGGGCUAGCGUUGUUCGGAGUUACUGGGCGUAAAGGGCGCGUAGGCGGUUCGGUGAGUUGGGCGUGAAAGGCCUGGGCUUAACCCGGGGACUGCGCUUGAUACUGCCGGGCUAGGAGGACGGGAGAGGAUGGCGGAAUUCCCAGUGUAGAGGUGAAAUUCGUAGAUAUUGGGAAGAACACCGGUGGCGAAGGCGGCCAUCUGGCCCGGGACUGACGCUGAGGCGCGAAAGCGUGGGGAGCAAACAGG